rnacentral:rRNA from 1 species
GACGAACGCUGGCGGCGUGCUUAACACAUGCAAGUCGAACGGAAAGGCCCUGCUUUUGUGGGGUGCUCGAGUGGCGAACGGGUGAGUAACACGUGAGUAACCUGCCCUUGACUUUGGGAUAACUUCAGGAAACUGGGGCUAAUACCGGAUAGGAGCUCCUGCUGCAUGGUGGGGGUUGGAAAGUUUCGGCGGUUGGGGAUGGACUCGCGGCUUAUCAGCUUGUUGGUGGGGUAGUGGCUUACCAAGGCUUUGACGGGUAGCCGGCCUGAGAGGGUGACCGGCCACAAUGGGACUGAGAUACGGCCCAGACGCCUACGGGAGGCAGCAGUGGGGAAUAUUGCACAAUGGGCGGAAGCCUGAUGCAGAAACGCCGCGUGCGGGAUGACGGCCUUCGGGUUGUAAACCGCUUUCGCCUGUGACGAGGCGUGAGUGACGGUAAUGGGUAAAGAAGCACCGGCUAACUACGUG